rnacentral:rRNA from 1 species
AUGCAGGAGACCCCUGACACCACCGUGGAGCCUCUUUUCUGUGGCCAGCUGGAGCUUUCUGAACCCACCUGCAUGAUGCACCACAUGAGGCUAAUUAAGUGUGUGGCAUUUGAAGGAACCUUAACUGGAAGGCGUUUCUAUGGUUGUCCAGUGCCGCAGAGUGAAGGUGUUAACUGUGGUGUUACUGAGUGGGUUGACAAGCCCUGUCAUCCAAUUCUUCAGAAUUGCUUGUCCAAGCUGUGGGACAUGUACCAUGAACAAAAUUGUGGCAGGGGAGUUGAUAAGCAGAAGUAUGAGAAGCAUUUGGCCAAGCUUAAGACUGAAAAUGACAAGAUGUGGAUUGAGUACACAAAGCUUGUCCAAGAUGUAUCCAAGAUGUUUGAUUGGCAGGAUGGUAGGGUAGACCACAUGGAUUACCAGAAGGCAGUUGAGGAGGAAGAAUUUGAGAAGAAGAAGAAAGAGGUAGAAGAGAGUGCUAGGUUGGAGGUUCAAAUGGAGAAGCUCAAACUUGCCAAGGAACAAAGGUGCAUUUUACAGAGUCAAGCUGACAUUAUCAAGAAUACCAGGAAGGCAAUGAAGGAGGUUGAAUAG